rnacentral:lncRNA from 10 species
GCAAGGUCUCGCUCUGUCACCCAGGCUACAGUUCAGUGGUCUGAUCACAGCUCACUGCAGCCUCAACCUCCUGGGCCCAAGCAAUCCUUCCACCCCAGCCUCCUGAGGAGCUGAGACCACAGGGAACAGAAAUGAACUGAAAUCAAGAAACAGAAGGGCCAAGGAAAGAAGUCCAUUUGAAUGUAUCAACAUGCAGGGGGCAACCACUGAAAGGAGUGACUACCCACCCAUCAAGAGCUGGCAAUUCGCUGCUAUUAACCGUGACUGUGAUUCCCAGUCCGCCUGGCAGUUCCUGAGAAAGGCCUGCAAUGUCUCAUAUGCAGUAAAAGCUGUAAGAUGCACCCUGGCCAGCACACUCGACCUGAUGGAUGUACAAUCCUCAGGAACAGUAAUGGAUUGAGCACACUUGCGAUUGAAGCAGGGAGAGGAGGCCCAGACCCCUACAAAGGGCCUGCUGAUUUAACAGUCGCUUUACAUGUAAUUGAACUUUUCAUGUACCUGAAAGGCUCAAGGUGAUGGUGGAAGAAACGGAACAACAAUGAUUGAAGGAAAAAAGUCAAUAAAUACAAAAGGAUUCCUCUUAGUGAUGAUCACAAGCCCACGGCGUGGCUCUGAAUCUAUGAUUACAUAUUCAGCUCGUUCUGAUUCAAGAAUGCUUGGCGAAGUAUGCCCUUGUGGAGAAGCAUUGUUUGUUGGUUAAGAACCUAACAUUCGGAGAGUUAACUUAAUACAGUUAAUGACAUCUCCAUGUGGAAGGAAGGGAACAAGAGAAUUCCUUUGAUGAAACUCUGGUGCCAUUGAAUGCAUUAUUAUGCCUCAGUGGGAAAAAUACCUUCUGGAGAAUUGUCCAUAGUAGACACUCAUAGAUAGAGGGAGCUGUACUUACAGAGGAAUGAGUAAUGUGAUGGCAGCUUGCAGUGUUAAUUUUGCCACUCUGUGGAUAUAGUUGAGCCAAAAGGAAAACAAACAAACCCAAACUCUGAAUUUGAAGUACCUUCAAACAGUACCCAUAUGCUUUAUAGACUAGUAGUUGGCAAAUAGAAUACAACAGCAAAGAGCCCCCAUACUUGGAGGAUUUCAGUGAUUGGGGUGUUUUUGCAAGAGGGGUUAAGAAAAAUCAGUGCAGUCUGUACCUUUCUUUCACUUGGAAAACAUACAUACAUAAUUCACAUGCUAUAUAAUCUCCUAGAUGCAUGGCCACAGAGCUGAUAUAUGACCAUUUUUUUCUUAUUGUAGUUUUUAGCCCAAAUAACCACUCUGUGUGUGUAAGAGAAGUCAAGAUGAAAACAAAUACUCUUUUUAGGUUGCUGCAAAUGACCAUGUGUAGACAGACCUGUUCAACUGGAAGUCACGAUUCUGUGACUGUCCUAACAUCACUCGUCCACAUGCCGCCAGACUGCAGUUGGGGGUAGAUCAGUAUCAACAGGAUAGACACAGAGGAAAGAACUCAUGGAAGUGGCGGUUGUGACAAAAGCAACAUAAUUAAAUAUAUUUUAGUAUAUAAACAAAUUAACUGCUUAAAACAUGUAUUUAAUGGGGCCCGGCGUGGUGGCUCAUGCCUGUAAUCCCAGCACUUUGGGAGGCCAAAGCAGGUGGAUCACCUGAGGUCAGAAGUUCG